UACGUAGGGUGCAAGCGUUGUCCGGAAUCAUUGGGCGUAAAGCGCGCGUAGGCGGCCCGGUAAGUCCGCUGUGAAAGUCCAGGGCUCAACCCUGGAACGCCGGUGGAUACUGUCGGGCUAGAGUCCGGAAGAGGCGAGUGGAACUCCUGGUGUAGCGGUGGAAUGCGCAGAUAUCAGGAAGAACACCAACGGCGAAGGCAGCUCGCUAGGACGGUACUGACGCUGAGACGCGAAAGCGUGGGGAGCGAACAGG
rnacentral:rRNA from 1 species